CAGUCGCCGCGGUAAUACGUAGGGUGCGAGCGUUGUCCGGAAUUAUUGGGCGUAAAGAGCUUGUAGGCGGUCUGUCGCGUCUGCUGUGAAAACCCGAGGCUCAACCUCGGGCCUGCAGUGGGUACGGGCAGACUAGAGUGCGGUAGGGGAGAACGGAACUCCUGGUGUAGCGGUGGAAUGCGCAGAUAUCAGGAAGAACACCGAUGGCGAAGGCAGUUCUCUGGGCCGUAACUGACGCUGAGAAGCGAAAGCGUGGGGAGCGAACAGGAUUAGAUACCCGAGUAGUCCCUGUCUCUUAUAC
rnacentral:rRNA from 1 species